AUAUGUGAGGGCGAUCUGGCUGCAACAUCUGUCACCCCAUUGAUCACCAGGGUUGAUUCGGCUGAUCUGGCUGGCUAGGCAGGUGUCCCCUUCCUCCCCCACUGCUCCAUGUACCUCCCUCCUGAAUAGAAGAGGACCAGUCUUCGGUCAAGGGUAUACCAGUAGCUGCGCUCCCCUGCUAGAACCUCCAAACAAGCUCAAGGUCCACUUGUUUUACUUUUCAACACAGCCUAGGCUGU
rnacentral:snRNA from 1 species